rnacentral:rRNA from 1 species
AGUGAACGCUGGCGGUAGGCCUAACACAUGCAAGUCGAACGGCAGCACAGUAAGAGCUUGCUCUUACGGGAGGCGCGUGGCGGACGGGUGCGGAAUACAUCGGAAUCUACUUUUUCGUGGGGGAUAACGUCGGGAAACUUAUGCUAAUACCGCAUACGACCUCCGGGUGACAGCAGGCGAUCUUUGGACCUUGUGCGUUUGAAUGUGCCGAUGUCGGAUUAGCUAGUUGGCGGGGUAAGGGCCCACCAAGGCGCAGAUCCGUAGCUGGUCUGAGAGGAUGAGCAGCCACACUGGAACGGAGACACGGUCCAGACUCCUACGAGAGGCAGCAGUGGGGAAUAUUGGACGAUGGGCGCAAGCCUGAUCCAGCCAUACCGCGUGAGUGAAGAAGGCCUUCGUGUUGUAAAGACCAUGUGUUGGGAAAGAAAAGCAACAGGUUAAUACCCCGCUGUUCUUACGGGACCCAAAGGAUGAGGACCGGGUAACUUCGGU